UGGCGGCAGUAGCGCGGUGGUCCCACCUGACCCCAUGCCGAACUCAGAAGUGAAACGUCGUAGCGCCGAUGGUAGUGUGGGGUCUCCCCAUGCGAGAGUAGGGAACUGCCAGACA
rnacentral:rRNA from 1 species